rnacentral:rRNA from 1 species
UAGUGGCUUACCAAGGUUGUAACGGGUAACGGGGAAUCAGGGUUCGAUUCCGGAGAGGGAGCUUGAGAAUCGGCUACCACAUCCAAGGAAGGCAGCAGGCGCGCAAAUUACCAAAUCUAGACAGUAGGAGGUGGUGAAGAGAAGUACUAAGUGGUGGUUUUUUGCUAUCAGCUUGGAAUGGACGUAAUUUAAGCAAUUCGAUGAGUAACCACUGGAGGGCAAGUCCUGGUGCCAGCAGCCGCGGUAAUUCCAGCUCCAGUGGCGUGAUUUAAAGUUGCUGCGUUUAAAACGCUCGUAGUUGGAUCAAGCGGUAGCAGUUUGUAGUCUGUGGUGAUCAUUUGGCUGUUUCAGUCGAUGUUUGCCAUGGAUAAAAACGCAAACUGCUACUAUUUAAUCGCAAGUAUGUUGAUUGGCCUUUACUGAGCUGAUCAUCAUAUUUUGUGGAGUUGUGCCUUGAAUAAAACAGAGUGCUCAAAGCAGGCGAACGCUUGAAUGUUGUAGCAUGGAACGAACAAACGUGUAUACGCGCACGUCGUGCGAAGUAGGUGUGCUUCUGGUGUGCCUACUUUGUUGAUGUGUGCAUCACCCGCCCAAGUACGAUUGUUGGUUAUCGUAUAAGGUGAUGAUUAAAAGGAGCGGUUGGGGGCAUUGGUAUUUGGACGCGAGAGGUGAAAUUCAAAGACCGUCCAAGGACUAACAAAUGCGAAGGCAUCUGUCCAGACCGUAUCCAUUAAUCAAGAACGAAAGUGGGAGGUUCGAAGACGAUUAGAUACCGUCGUAGUUCCCACCGUAAACUAUGCCGACUAGGGAUCAGCUUGGUGAUAUUACAAGCAUCAAGUUGGUCUCCAAGGGAAACCAUGAGUUUUUCGGUUACGGGGAGAGUAUGGUCGCAAGUCUGAAAUUUAAAGGAAUUGACGGAAGGGCACCACCAGGGGUGGAACCUGCGGCUUAAUUUGACUCAACACGGGGAAACUUACAUGGUCCAGACAUCGAUAGGAUAAACAGACUGAUAGAUCUUUUUUGAUGCGGUGAGUGGUGGUGCAUGGCCGUUCCUAGUUCGUGGAGUGAUCUGUCAGGUUGAUUCCGGUAACGAACGAGACUACAACCUUCAUUUAAGAGGCAAAAGCAGGUUCUGUGGUCAUUGCGUUUCGGCGCUUUCGAUCGUGGUUCUGAAAGAAGAAUAUGCAAUAUCGCAUUCUGCUGGGGUAGCGGGUAACCGUGAACUCAGUUGGAUGUGGGUGGCGUGUAUUUUCUCCUUUGUCAAGCAGUCACGGGGAAACCUGUGGCUGACUUAUGGAGGGACUGCUGGUGCUUCAAAACCAGAGGAAGUGUGGCGAUAACAGGUCAGUGAUGCCCUUCGAUGUCCAUGGCUGCACGCGCGCUACAAU